rnacentral:rRNA from 1 species
GAUGAACGCUGGCGGCGUGCCUAACACAUGCCAGUCGAGCGAAAAGACGGGGCUUUCGCGCCGCUACCGUUGGGGGCGGGCGGGUGAGUCACACGUGUAUACCCUACCUUUAAGACUGGGAUCAUUACGGGAAACCGGAUAAAAUCCCAGAUAAUAUUUUGAACCGCAGGGAUCAUUGGAAAAUGACGGUUUUGGUGUCUCUAUUAGCGGGUUCCGAGCCGCAUUAGCAAGUGGUUAGGGUAACGGCUUUCCAAGGCUACGAGGCGUGUCCGGCCUGAGAGGCUGAUCGGCCACACUGGAACUGAGACACGGUCCAGACUCCUACGGGAGGCAGCAGUAGGGAAUAUUCGGCAAUGGGCGAAAGCCUGACGCAGCCACGCCGCGUGUGUGAAGAAGGUCUUCGGAUCGUAAAGCCCUGUUAUUAGGGAAGAACAGCUGUGUAAUAAAACAUGGACGUCUUGACGGUACCUAAUCAGAAAGCCCCGGCUAACUACGUG